UAAAUACCUUCACAAUUUCUA
rnacentral:piRNA from 1 species